GCAGGCUCUGAAGGCAUCACAUGAGCCGCUUUAUGACGGGAGGGAUUUUUGCAGUUCCUAGAACACAACGUUCUUAGAACCCUUUUUUCUCAUGCUCCAACUGGACCAAUUUGGGGAUUCCUCUGACCCUAGUUCCUAUAACUCUUUCA